ensembl:lncRNA
CAUGAACACUGUUGUGCGGGCUAAUUUUCACAUCAGAUGAAGCACGGUGUUAUUUCGAGCGGUUUGUUCCCGCUUCAGAGGCCUUCAGUCAGCGCGUGGUCACAGUGUCCAGAGAGAUUUAUAUCAGAAGAAAGUUGACCACUGCAAUUCUUUGGAGGACAGAUACCAGGAAGGUCCCAUCUGCAUCAAGCAAAGAUAGCAGAAUUGUUAGAACAUAACCUGGAAUGCGAGAGAUGGAUGCAAAGACACAUGAAGGGGCCAUUCACACCUCACAGUAGAACAUUACCACACAAAUAUCUAUAUGGCCUCCCGGAUUAGAACCUGGAACUAAAUUUUUGCAACACAGAUUGCUAUAGAUUAGACUCCAUCCAUUUCCCAGACAUGAGCACAGAACACAC